AAUGGCACUGGAAGAAAUGUGAUAACUACAGAGGCAAACAGCGACUCUGAGAAAAUUGAAUCCACCCUCAUUUGAUCCAGGACUGGAAUGGUUGUUGGUGGAAGAUGGUGCAGAGUCUAAGAGAAUUGACGUAUUAUCUUGGAUCCCAGUGGCAAGGGAACACUUCUGUCCUACAAUAAUCUCUCCCAUCCCCAACAGGAAAAAGGAAGAAGACUGAUAGAAGACUGUGGCCAUGAUUUACUGCCUGAAGCAAAGUACUGCCAGCCAAGGAUCAUGCUGUUUGGACUAUCAGACAGGAAUUGAGGAGAGAGCUACAAUCAUUGUGGAAAAUAUUCGGAUAGUGCUUACAUGAUACAUGACCAAUAAUAAAGAAAGCAAAAUUCUCUCUGUCUCAUUUUUUAAUCAUAAAAGCCACA
rnacentral:lncRNA from 1 species